rnacentral:rRNA from 1 species
GGGUUGUGAGGUUAAGCGACUAAGCGUACACGGUGGAUGCCCUGGCAGUCAGAGGCGAUGAAGGGCGUGCUAAUCUGCGAUAAGCGCCGGUAAGGUGAUAUGAACCGUUAUAACCGGCGAUACCCGAAUGGGGAAACCCAGUGUGAUUCGUCACACUAUCAUUAACUGAAUCCAUAGGUUAAUGAGGCGAACCGGGGGAACUGAAACAUCUAAGUACCCCGAGGAAAAGAAAUCAACCGAGAUUCCCCCAGUAGCGGCGAGCGAACGGGGAGGAGCCCAGAGCCUGAAUCAGCAUGUGUGUUAGUGGAAGCGUCUGGAAAGGCGCGCGAUACAGGGUGACAGCCCCGUACACAAAAGCGCAUGUGCUGUGAGCUCGAUGAGUAGGGCGGGACACGUGGUAUCCUGUCUGAAUAUGGGGGGACCAUCCUCCAAGGCUAAAUACUCCUGACUGACCGAUAGUGAACCAGUACCGUGAGGGAAAGGCGAAAAGAACCCCGGCGAGGGGAGUGAAAAAGAGCCUGAAACCGUGUACGUACAAGCAGUGGGAGCACCCUUCGGGGUGUGACUGCGUACCUUUUGUAUAAUGGGUCAGCGACUUAUAUUCUGUAGCAAGGUUAACCGUAUAGGGGAGCCGGAGGGAAACCGAGUCUUAACCGGGCGUUAAGUUGCAGGGUAUAGACCCGAAACCCGGUGAUCUAGCCAUGGGCAGGUUGAAGGUUGGGUAACACUAACUGGAGGACCGAACCGACUAAUGUUGAAAAAUUAGCGGAUGACCUGUGGCUGGGGGUGAAAGGCCAAUCAAACCGGGAGAUAGCUGGUUCUCCCCGAAAGCUAUUUAGGUAGCGCCUCGUGAAUUCAUCUCCGGGGGUAGAGCACUGUUUCGGCUAGGGGGCCAUCCCGGCUUACCAACCCGAUGCAAACUGCGAAUACCGGAGAAUGUUAUCACGGGAGACACACGGCGGGUGCUAACGUCCGUCGUGAAGAGGGAAACAACCCAGACCGCCAGCUAAGGUCCCAAAGUCAUGGUUAAGUGGGAAACGAUGUGGGAAGGCCCAGACAGCCGGGAUGUUGGCUUAGAAGCAGCCAUCAUUUAAAGAAAGCGUAAUAGCUCACUGGUCGAGUCGGCCUGCGCGGAAGAUGUAACGGGGCUAAACCAUGCACCGAAGCUGCGGCAGCGAACGUAUCACCCAAGACAACUUUACGGAGUUGACGAUUGACGGAGCGAAGCGACGUCAAAGCGUUCAUUAAAGUCGAGUUGGCUUAGGGAUACGUUCGUUGGGUAGGGGAGCGUUCUGUAAGCCUGUGAAGGUGUGUCGUGAGGCAUGCUGGAGGUAUCAGAAGUGCGAAUGCUGACAUAAGUAACGAUAAAGCGGGUGAAAAGCCCGCUCGCCGGAAGACCAAGGGUUCCUGUCCAACGUUAAUCGGGGCAGGGUGAGUCGACCCCUAAGGCGAGGCCGAAAGGCGUAGUCGAUGGGAAACGGGUUAAUAUUCCCGUACUUGGUGUUACUGCGAAGGGGGGACGGAGAAGGCUAUGUUGGCCGGGCGACGGUUGUCCCGGUUUAAGCGUGUAGGUGUGUGUUCCGUGUAAAUCCGGUUCACUUUAACACUGAGGCGUGACGACGAGGCACUACGGUGCUGAAGCAACAAAUGCCCUGCUUCCGGGAAAGCCUCUAAGCAUCAGGUAACAUCAAAUCGUACCCCAAACCGACACAGGUGGUCAGGUAGAGAAUACCAAGGCGCUUGAGAGAACUCGGGUGAAGGAACUAGGCAAAAUGGUGCCGUAACUUCGGGAGAAGGCACGCUGACACGUAGGUGAAGUGAUUUACUCAUGGAGCUGAAGUCAGUCGAAGAUACCAGCUGGCUGCAACUGUUUAUUAAAAACACAGCACUGUGCAAACACGAAAGUGGACGUAUACGGUGUGACGCCUGCCCGGUGCCGGAAGGUUAAUUGAUGGGGUCAGCGCAAGCGAAGCUCCUGAUCGAAGCCCCGGUAAACGGCGGCCGUAACUAUAACGGUCCUAAGGUAGCGAAAUUCCUUGUCGGGUAAGUUCCGACCUGCACGAAUGGCGUAAUGAUGGCCGGGCUGUCUCCACCCGAGACUCAGUGAAAUUGAACUCGCUGUGAAGAUGCAGUGUACCCGCGGCAAGACGGAAAGACCCCGUGAACCUUUACUAUAGCUUGACACUGAACAUUGAGCCUUGAUGUGUAGGAUAGGUGGGAGGCUUUGAAGUGUGGACGCCAGUCUGCAUGGAGCCGACCUUGAAAUACCACCCUUUAAUGUUUGAUGUUCUAACGUGGACCCGUAAUCCGGGUUGCGGACAGUGUCUGGUGGGUAGUUUGACUGGGGCGGUCUCCUCCUAAAGAGUAACGGAGGAGCACGAAGGUUGGCUAAUCCUGGUCGGACAUCAGGAGGUUAGUGCAAUGGCAUAAGCCAGCUUGACUGCGAGCGUGACGGCGCGAGCAGGUGCGAAAGCAGGUCAUAGUGAUCCGGUGGUUCUGAAUGGAAGGGCCAUCGCUCAACGGAUAAAAGGUACUCCGGGGAUAACAGGCUGAUACCGCCCAAGAGUUCAUAUCGACGGCGGUGUUUGGCACCUCGAUGUCGGCUCAUCACAUCCUGGGGCUGAAGUAGGUCCCAAGGGUAUGGCUGUUCGCCAUUUAAAGUGGUACGCGAGCUGGGUUUAGAACGUCGUGAGACAGUUCGGUCCCUAUCUGCCGUGGGCGCUGGAGAACUGAGGGGGGCUGCUCCUAGUACGAGAGGACCGGAGUGGACGCAUCACUGGUGUUCGGGUUGUCAUGCCAAUGGCACUGCCCGGUAGCUAAAUGCGGAAGAGAUAAGUGCUGAAAGCAUCUAAGCACGAAACUUGCCCCGAGAUGAGUUCUCCCUGAGACUUAGAGUCUCCUGAAGGAACGUUGAAGACGACGACGUUGAUAGGCCGGGUGUGUAAGCGCAGCGAUGCGUUGAGCUAACCGGUACUAAUGAACCGUGAGGCUUAACCUUACAACGCCGAAG